CGUAACAAGGUAGCUGUAGGUGAACCUGCUGAUGGAUC
rnacentral:rRNA from 1 species